AUUGAACGCUGGCGGCAUGCCUUACACAUGCAAGUCGAACGGUAACGCGGGGCAACCUGGCGACGAGUGGCGAACGGGUGAGUAAUGUAUCGGAACGUGCCCAGUUGUGGGGGAUAACUGCUCGAAAGAGCAGCUAAUACCGCAUACGACCUGAGGGUGAAAGCGGGGGAUCGCAAGACCUCGCGCAAUUGGAGCGGCCGAUAUCAGAUUAGGUAGUUGGUGGGGUAAAGGCCUACCAAGCCUACGAUCUGUAGCUGGUCUGAGAGGACGACCAGCCACACUGGGACUGAGACACGGCCCAGACUCCUACGGGAGGCAGCAGUGGGGAAUUUUGGACAAUGGGGCAACCCUGAUCCAGCCAUGCCGCGUGCGGGAAGAAGGCCUUCGGGUUGUAAACCGCUUUUGUCAGGGAAGAAAUCCUUUGAACUAAUACUUCGAAGGGAUGACGGUACCUGAAGAAUAAGCACCGGCUAACUACGUGCCAGCAGCCGCAGUAAGAC
rnacentral:rRNA from 1 species